rnacentral:lncRNA from 1 species
GGGUCUCUUAGUGGAAUCACAACAUCUUGCAUUGUGCGAGAGCGUGAGGAGACUACGGUGGCCUUAGUGGCAUCUUGGGGAGCAUUGUGCCUCCACACCGCUCCAACGAAGAUUAGCAUCCGCAAAGGUGUGAACUUCGGGAUACAUCAUCGUCUCUGCGUGCCUCGGUUAUCUCUUAACCGAACCCUUUACUUAUGCACUUUACUUUUUGAUAGCCAUAUUGUUUAUUGUCAUAUAUCUUCCUAUCACUUAGUUGUUUAUCAUGCUUAGCAUAAGUUGUUGGUGCACAUAGGUGAGCCUAGUUGUUGUAUGUUUUGUGCUUGACAAAUUAAACGUUAGUUUUAUUCUGCAUUUGUUCAAGCCUAAACCGUAAUUAUUUUAAAGCGCCUAUUCGCCCCCCCCCUCUAGGCGACAUCCACGUC